rnacentral:rRNA from 1 species
UGACAUCCUCGGAACUUGUNCAGAGAUGACUUGGUGCCUUCGGGAACCGAGUGACAGGUGCUGCAUGGCAUGUCAGUCAGCAUCGUGUCGUGAGAUGUUGGGUUAAGUCCCGUAACGAGCGCAACCCUUGUCCUUUGUUGCCAGCACGUAAUGGUGGGAACUCAAAGGAGACUGCCGGUGACAAACCGGAGGAAGGUGGGGAUGACGUCAAGUCAUCAUGGCCACUUACGAGCUGGGCUACACACGUGCUACAAUGGUCAGUACAGAGGGCUGCCAAGCCGCGAGGGGGAGCCAAUCCCAGAAAGCCGAUCUUAGUCCGGAUCGCAGUCUGCAACUCGACUGCGUGAAGUCGGAAUCGCUAGUAAUCGCGAAUCAGCAAUGUCGCA